UACGUAGGGUCCGAGCGUUGUCCGGAAUUAUUGGGCGUAAAGGGCUCGUAGGCGGUUUGUCGCGUCGGGAGUGAAAACCGGGUGCUUAACACCUGGCUUGCUUUCGAUACGGGCAGACUAGAGGUAUGCAGGGGAGAACGGAAUUCCUGGUGUAGCGGUGAAAUGCGCAGAUAUCAGGAGGAACACCGGUGGCGAAGGCGGUUCUCUGGGCAUUACCUGACGCUGAGGAGCGAAAGUGUGGGGAGCGAACAGG
rnacentral:rRNA from 1 species